rnacentral:rRNA from 1 species
GAUGAACGCUAGCGACAGGCUUAACACAUGCAAGUCGAGGGGCAGCGGUGGUGAAGGCUUGCCUUUACCAGCCGGCGACCGGCGCACGGGUGAGUAACACGUAUGCAACCUGCCUGCCACAGCCGGAUAAUCGGGAGAAAUUCCGUCUAAUACGGCAUAAUGCACCUAUGGGACAUCCUGUUGGUGCCAAAGGUUGAUUCCGGUGGCGGAUGGGCAUGCGUCGCAUUAGUUAGUUGGCGGUGUAACGGACCACCAAGACGACGAUGCGUAGGGGUUCUGAGAGGAAGGUCCCCCACACUGGUACUGAGACACGGACCAGACUCCUACGGGAGGCAGCAGUGAGGAAUAUUGGUCAAUGGGCGGGAGCCUGAACCAGCCAAGUCGCGUGAGGGAUGACGGCCCUAUGGGUUGUAAACCUCUUUUGCCGGGGAGCAAAGUGCCGCACGUGUGCGGUUUGGAGAGUACCCGGAGAAAAAGCAUCGGCUAACUCCGUGCCAGCAGCCGCGGUAAUACGGAGGAUGCGAGCGUUAUCCGGAUUUAUUGGGUUUAAAGGGUGCGUAGGCGGACGCUUAAGUCAGCGGUAAAAUUGCGGGGCUCAACCUCGUCGAGCCGUUGAAACUGGGUGCCUUGAGUGGGCGAGAAGUACGCGGAAUGCGUGGUGUAGCGGUGAAAUGCAUAGAUAUCACGCAGAACUCCGAUUGCGAAGGCAGCGUACCGGCGCCCAACUGACGCUGAAGCACGAAGGCGUGGGUAUCGAACAGGAUUAGAUACCCUGGUAGUCCACGCAGUAAACGAUGAAUGCUAGUUGUCCGGGGCGAUUGAGUUCUGGGUGACACAGCGAAAGCGUUAAGCAUUCCACCUGGGGAGUACGCCGGCAACGGUGAAACUCAAAGGAAUUGACGGGGGCCCGCACAAGCGGAGGAACAUGUGGUUUAAUUCGAUGAUACGCGAGGAACCUUACCCGGGCUCAAACGCAGGAGGGAUGUUUUUGAAAGGAGGCAGCCAGCAAUGGUCUCCUGCGAGGUGCUGCAUGGUUGUCGUCAGCUCGUGCCGUGAGGUGUCGGCUUAAGUGCCAUAACGAGCGCAACCCCUACCUACAGUUGCCAUCGCGUGAUGGCGGGCACUCUGUGGGGACUGCCUGCGCAAGCAGUGAGGAAGGCGGGGAUGACGUCAAAUCAGCACGGCCCUUACGUCCGGGGCGACACACGUGUUACAAUGGCAGGUACAGCGGGAAGCCACCCGGCGACGGGGCGCGGAACCCGAAAACCUGUCUCAGUUCGGAUUGGAGUCUGCAACCCGACUCCAUGAAGCUGGAUUCGCUAGUAAUCGCGCAUCAGCCACGGCGCGGUGAAUACGUUCCCGGGCCUUGUACACACCGCCCGUCAAGCCAUGGAAGCCGGGGGUGCCUGAAGUGCGUGACCGCAAGGAGCGCCCUAGGGUAAAACCGGUGACUGGGGCUA